AGAGUUUGAUCAUGGCUCAGAACGAACGCUGGCGGCGUGGAUUAGGCAUGCAAGUCGAACGCGAAAGAGGGGGCAACCCCUCGAGUAGAGUGGCGAACGGGUGAGUAACACGUGAAGAACCUGCCUUCAACAGGGGGACAACACUCCCAACGGGGUGCUAAUACCGCAUGAGACCACGAGUCUGCAUGGACUCGAGGUCAAAGGUGGCCUCUGCUUGCAAGCUACCGGUUGAAGAUGGCUUCGCGUCCCAUUAGCUAGUUGGCGGUGUAACGGACCACCAAGGCGACGAUGGGUAGCUGGUCUGAGAGGAUGGUCAGCCACACUGGGACUGAGAUACGGCCCAGACUCCUACGGGAGGCAGCAGUCGAGAGGCUUUGUCAAUGGGGGAAACCCUGAACAAGCGACGCCGCGUGGAGGAUGAAGGCCCUUGGGUUGUAAACUCCUUUUGUUGGGGAAGAAAUGCGAUCAGGUGAACAAUCUGGUCGUUUGACGGUACCCGACGAAUAAGCUCCGGCUAACUCCGUGCUAGCCGCCGCGGUAAUAC
rnacentral:rRNA from 1 species